UUUUUCUUUCCUCUUUCUUCUUCUGCUUCUCCCCCGUUCUUCAUCUGCCGAUGAUUGUGAGAAUUAAACGAGGGUUUUGAGUUCGAAUCAAGAGUAGAAAGAUUAUGGAAGGGUCGCUGGUAGUGAUGACUGUGGUUUGUUAGGUUCUGAGUUAAGAAAAAUGACGAAUUAGAGAAGAUUGAGUUAGGGUUUCUGAGUUUGAUUCUGAGAUGAAUUUGGUUCUGAGAAAUCGAUUAAGGAUGAACAAUAAGAAGUUAGAAGACGGGUUUACUUUUAAUUGGUGUUUGAUGGAAGUUAUGAAGUUGUCCCGUGAAGCUUCAACGAAUUAGGGUUUCUGUUGGGUUGAGAUUUAAUUUUAAUGAACCAAGAGAAAUUGGAAGAGGCUGUUAAUUGGGUUAGUCUCUAUGUUGCUUAAAUUUCAGUGUUUGAAGUUUAAUUUUGGUUCCUUAGGAAUUCUGAUUUUCAUAUGUUCUUCCCCAAACUAAGAACUAGGGUUUCAUAAGAAUUACAAAGAGGAAUUUGAAGAUGAAAUUGAUAUUAUAGAAGGGUGAUGAAGGAUGGGUUUAGCCUGAAUUGGAGUUGAAGUUGAAGAAUAGCUUGGAAUUGGCAGUUAGGGUUCGAUUCUGUUUUAAAGAAGAUUUGGGAAUUAAGUUGAGAAGUGUUAAUGAUGAUGGGAUUGUGGUGUAUUUGAUGAACUAUAUUGGUGGGUUGUUGUAACCCUAAGAAGAAUCGCAGUACCCAUUUAAGCAAGAAGAGUAGGGUUGGUUUUGGCAGAUGGCAGUGGUCUUGGUAUGAGUUCUCUUUUGAUCCAAGAGAAGAAAGAAUCUGUCUCCAAUUGCUUGUGUAUGAUUAUUAUGAGGUAAUUGUUCUUCCAAUCUGUUUAGUGAUGUUAUUUACUGUUAUUGAUUGAGUAUGUGUAUUUAAUGAUUGAGCUAAGUUCCGAGAUGGGUGUUUAUUGAAGUUUGGAUGUAAAUAAAUGGAACUGUUAUGUUUGAAGCUUGUUUGUGGUUAUGGAUAUGAACUGUAUGAGCCGUUGCAGGUGAAGUUGUUAGUGGCUCAUGUAAAGAAUAAAGAUCUCAGAGUUUAGAAUAUGGUUAUGAUGGAAUGAAAUUUAGUCUCAGCUGAAGUUGAUUGUACUGGAAUGUGAUAUGUUGGUAGAGUUACAGAUGGUGUUAGUUUGUCGAAUGCACGAGGUUGUAUUUGCAGUUCAGGUCGCAAGUGUUGGUGCAGGUCAUGUAAGGUGGAAUUAGCAAUGGAACGGAGUUCGUGUUAGACUGCGUGGAUGUGAAGUUGAGUUGUGCUCAACUGACAUUAGUGGAACUGUUGUAGCUUGUGAUGAUGAAUGAAAGUUUAAGAACCGCGGUGAAUAUUUGAAUGUUCAGGUGGUGGAUUAAUUUGUUUGAAGUAACUGAUAUUGCUUGUGGUGAUAGGGUUUGUUUGUGCUAAGGUUGGAAUUCAGUUUGUAGUGGAGUGUAGUCAGAUAGGAAUUGUAGUUGAGGGUUUGAGUGUUGUUUGAGUUGAGCUGAUCUGAGUUUGGCGCUGUAAGUGCAGUUAGCGUAAUAACAACGAUCGAUUCAAAGGAUAAACCAGUGGAUAUCGGAUCUUGAGGUAGGCGAGGCAUACCAUCAAAAGAGUGUCAAAUCAGAGUUGCGCAGCGAAAGCUCUGAGAAGUUGACUUCGUUAGUUGGUUAUGUUCUGAUAUGUUUAUUAUGUUGUAUAUUCUAUUUUUAAACAAAAUGACUAUUGAAUAUGUAUCACUUGAGAGAAGUUCUUAUAUAUAUUUCAGAGCGG